rnacentral:lncRNA from 1 species
GACCAUUUUGGUCAGGAAUCUCAAAAAGGAGUUCUACACCAACCUCUCAGUUUACAUGAUAAAUAAUUAUAAAAAAAAUAUUAUUGUGUAAAUAUUUAUUUUCAAUUUUUUUCAAUUUUUUUAAGUAAACAUAUUAUUCAAGAUAUGGGUGGAAACUAGUCUGGCCGAUUUCUGUGUUAAUUUGUUUUUAUGCUCUGCUGGUGAUCAGAUGGCUUUGUUUUUAGAGUGCUGCUGGUAUGUUUUUGAGUGGUGGUGGUUAAAUUUCAGAGCUGUAGCCUGCAGGGGUGGUGGUGUUUGUUUAUCUCCGGUUCUGGGUGCUGUAGCAAGUUUUUGCUGCAAUUUUAGAGGCCUGAUCGUCGAUUUUCUGUAGAAAGUGUGGGCAGGGGCCUGUUGCAGACUUGUUGGGGUCUGGGAUUGCUUUUUUGGUGUGAGUUUUUAUUUGCUGAUUUUCUUCAUAGGUGUUGUCUCAUUGAUUGCUUGCAUUUUUAUUUUUUUUGCUAAGUUGAUUGCUUGCAUGGGAUAGUUUUUGCCAGACUGUUAUUUUUUUUGGGAAGCAUAGGAGUUUAAUUUUGAAUUUUCCAGCUUUUUUGAUUCAAGUAGGGAACUGGUUUGGUAUGGUAUUCUGGGGGUUUUAGUUAGUAUUGCGUGGCUUGGUUGGUUGGGUGUGGGAGGUGUGGAGCCCGGGUUCUCUGCUGUAAUGGGUUUCUUUUUUGUUUUGAGUUGAGCAGGUCGCUUGUUUUGGGGUUGGCAGAUUUGGGAGAAGUCGCGGUGUUUUUCUAGUUUUUUUUUUUUUUUUUGGAUUUUUUCAUUUUAUUUUCUUAGAUGGAGAUUUUGGUUUUGUUUUUUUAGAUUUUUUCUGUUACUAGUUAUAGCAUCCUGUGUGUUCUUAGAUGUCUUUUGAGAUGAGUCCUCUCGUUGUGUAUUCCCAUUUCAUACGAGGUGCCGUCCUCAUUUAUUUAAAAAAAAUAGUUUUUUUACUGUAUUUCUUUAUAAACUAUUUAUUUAAAUAUAAUUAUUGUGAUGUGUAUCUAUUUUAUUUGAUAUAUUACUUAUUUAUAUCAUUUGAUGUUGAGGAAAGAAAAAGAUUUGUCUACCGUUAACUCCAACUCAAAUUACAGUUAUAUGUGCGUAGAAGACAAUUUCUUAUUUUAUCUGAGAUAAAAUAUG